rnacentral:lncRNA from 1 species
CAAGAACCUGGAUUACCUCCGUGUAUGCGGUCGGCGUUUCAUGACAGCCAGCGAGUCUAAUGGACAACACAAACCCAGAUUGGGUGCCGAGCCAACACUUGGGAUACAGCAACCGCACAGCACCGGGCGUAAACUCUACUUCUCGGUACAAGCGCGCCAAAAAUCGGCUGGCAAAAAAAAAAA